CAUGUUAAGAAACUAUUAGAAUUUUUUUGAUAACUUUUUUUAAUUCAAAAGGGAUAACAAAUGGUAUUAGAUGCCUUUUUGGCAUCUACAGCAGUGUUCAUAAUGUAUUUCCCCUUAGAUCGAUGUGAAGUUUUAUUAUUAUUAUUUUUUAAGUAUUUUUUUAGUUGUUGAUGGAUCUUUAUUUUAUUCAUUUAUUUAUAUGUGGUGUUAACAAUCUAACCCAGUGUGUCACAUGAGAGGCAAGUGUUCUACCCCUGAGUCACAACCUAGCCCCAUAAGUUUUAUUAUAAUAAUAGUUUUUAAAAAAUAGAGUAUUGUUAUUAAACAUAGUAGUGGGUUCAUCUUGAUAAAACUGUACAUGCAUAGAAUUCAAUUUCAGUUCAUGAUCACCCCCCCUUUUCCCUCUGCUCCUCAUCCCUUUUAUUCUCCUUCCUUCUAGUUUACUAAUCUUCUUUUCACUCAUCUAUUUAUUUUUGAAUAGUAUCUUCUACUUAUAUAUAAAGGUUAAAUUCCCUGUGAUAUAUUUAUAUAUGCACAUAACAUGAUUUUAAAAAAUUUGUUCUGAAUUUCCUGCCCUUUCCUAUCCCUUCUCUCUUCCUCUUGAUCUCCUUGUACUUUACUGCUCUUCCCUAUAUCUUUAUGAUAUCUAGUCCUCCCC
rnacentral:lncRNA from 1 species